rnacentral:tRNA from 1 species
GCGGGUGUAGCUCAAUGGUAGAGCAACAGCCUUCCAAGCUGAAGACGAGGGUUCGAUUCCCUCCACCCGCUCCA